rnacentral:rRNA from 1 species
GGAGUUAGCCGGUGCUUCUUCUGUGAGUGAUGUCCUUCCUGCCGGUUAUUGACCCGCAGGCCUUCUUCCUCACUGAAAGUGCUUUACAACCCGAAGGCCUUCUUCACACACGCGGCAUGGCUGGAUCAGGGUUGCCCCCAUUGUCCAAUAUUCCCCACUGCUGCCUCCCGUAGGAGUCUGGGCCGUGUCUCAGUCCCAGUGUGGCUGAUCAUCCUCUCAGACCAGCUACGGAUCGUCGCCUUGGUGAGCCGUUACCUCACCAACCAGCUAAUCCGACAUAGGCUCAUCCGAUAGCGCGAGGCCCGAAGGUCCCCCGNUUUCCCCCGUAGGGCGUAUGCGGUAUUAGCCUGGGUUUCCCCCAGGUUAUCCCCCACUACCGGGCAGAUUCCUAUGCAUUACUCACCCGUCCGCCGCUCGCCACCAGGGAGCAAGCUCCCCGUGCUGCCGCUCGACUUGCAUGUGUUAGGCCUGCCGCCAGCGUUCAAUCUGAGCCAGGAUCAAACUCUGA